rnacentral:rRNA from 1 species
AUGCCUCUUAAAUAUUGGGAUGAAGCUUUUAUCACCGCCACUUAUCUUAUUAAUCGUCUACCCAGUAGUGUCAUUGGCAAUUCUACUCCUUUGGAACGGUUGUACAACCAAAAACCUGAUUAUAAUUAUCUCAAAACCUUUGGAUGUGCUUGCUACCCUAAUCUUUGUCCUUACAAUCGCCACAAGCUUGAGUUUCGGUCCACCCAAUGCGCUUUCCUUGGCUAUAGCAACCUUCACAAAGGCUAUAAGUGUCUUGAGAUUGCUACUGGACGUAUCUACAUAUCUUGCGAUGUCGUUUUUGAUGAAACUGUCUUUCCGUUUUCAAAACUUCAUCCCAAUGUCGGUGCCUUGCUUCGUGCUGAAAUUGCACUUCUACCAGACUAUGAUCACGGGGGCGCAUUAACUGAACCUGAUCAUGUGCAAAAUUCCAAAGAAAAUCCUGAUUCUGUUGAUACUUGUGCUAAUUCUGGGCGUCAUUUUAUGUAUGAGGAAACAAACAACGCAGGUGCAGAAACCCAAGCUGAUUCGGCUGACAGCGGCGGAUCCCAGGCAGAUUCGCCUGGCGGGCCUGCCUCUACUGACGGCGCGAGAUCCCAGGCGGAUCCGCCACCCGUGCGCGUGGCUGCAUGCAGGAUGGUGGCAGACCGCCCCGAUCGAGUGGAUCCCACCGGUCCAGGAGCGCCCACGAGCCCGUGUGACGACAGGCGCGCCGGCCCAGGCGAAGGAGAAGCCCAGUCGCCUGCUGCCACGUCGCGGCAGGCCCAGGUGGACCGCGGGUGUGUCGCCCAACGCCGUCUCCCUGCGGGCGGAGGCAGACCGCGAGUGUGCGGCCGACCGCACACGUGA